CCUCCUCCGCGUCUCCUCUGCGCCGCCCCCGACCACCUCCUCCGCGUUGACAUGUCCUAGGUCCUCCUCCUCCGCAGCAGAUGGAUCUGCGCGGAGACUACCUUCCCCGUCUCCUCCACUGCGACCGUGGCCGCUCCGGCACCAGCAGGGGCCGCACAGCGGCGGGAGCAAGUCCGUGCUCGACGGUGAGGAAUCUCUCCUCUUCACUCUCUGGUUCCCCUCCCCUCCUCUUGGAAAGCUCUAGCCUAGUAAGAAGGAUUUUCGAGGUUUGAUUGGGAAUUGCGUUUUUUCCAUGUUCCAUGUUGCUGAUUGGAUGCAGAUUCACGAGCUGCUCGAAUUUCUAUGUUGUACUAGUCAGUGUAUGCGUAUACAACGAUUCUACACUGAUCAAAUAUAUUCUAUGAUGCAUCUAAUGAACCAGAUUCAGUGCUGUAGAUAUUGAUAGAUUUUCUCUAUAAUCGGUCACUGAUUGUUGGAAGAGUGCUAGCUCAGUACCCAGCUCGUCCCAUCUCUUUUAAUAUAUACCAUGUUAACAACGAUACUUUGCAAAAUGGGUAUGAUGAAUGUCCAACAUGACGUUUCUUUAUAUGGACUGAUAAGCUUCUGGAGCAUGGUGUUUUAGACUACUCUAGUUGUGUAACCAUUUCAGAAUCAUCUGGUAGAAAGGAACUUUUGGUGUUCUGCAUUUAAGUGUUUUAGAGAAAAGGUAUUAUGCCUUGUUAUUACAUCUAAGCAACUUUGCAUUGAAGUCUUGAGUGACACUGUGACAGUAACUCGAACCAGUGCUCUCUGCAUGGAUGAACAUAAUAGUACUAAAUACGGAGGCAACUUUCUUGAUUUACCUAAUUAGUCUUCAGAACCUUCACUUCGAUCACUCGCAUCAGCACAGCCACGUCCUGACACUAUCUGAAUUUAGCUGAUAGUUGGUGCCAACCUUUGAAAGUGGGAAUUAGGUUGUUCAUGAAUACAACAAAUGCAGGGAUCCAAAUUUUGUUUAGCUUCAGACGAAGUUGGUGUAAUCUUCACGAGUGGUGGUGGUUACUGGUUACAGGCAGUGUGAUCAUCCAUGUCACCGUGCUUGGUGGAUAGCCGUCUCCGUUCCUAACUUUUCCUUUUGCAAAGUAUCGUUAUUAACUCAUCAGUCCAGAUUACACCAUGUUAGAGGACACUGCCAGGUGAACAAGGUGCUAAUCACUUAUAGGCCUACAUGGGCCAACCAGUAGAGAAUCUCUAAUUGAGUGAAAUAGAAAUGUUGACUAUGUUUCUAAUUAUAUGUGUUCUUGAAUAUAUAGGGAUGGCUGGCCCAUCCAUGAAGCUGGUUGAGCUCGAAGAAUUGGCUGGCUGAUCCAUGAAGCCGGUUCACCUCGAAGAAAUGGUUGGCCCAUCCAUGAAGCCGGUUGAGCUCGAAGAAUUGGAUCCCAUGUGCAUUUCCCUUUAUUUUAAUAAGAUGUUUGGAAGGCUCCUGUUCAUCUGCUGAUGCUGCUCCCUGUUGCACUUGAAGAUGUAGAUUCAUGUCAAGUUGAUCUCAGCUGCUAAAAGGGUGGUAUAUUCAUGAACCGUGGUGACCUCUAUGUUUCCUAUUUUAGCAAAUGUCGGUGAUUCCUUGCGGAUGUGGAUGAGCAUGCAUCUACUUGUCUAUUUUGUUGUGUCAUCUCGACCCCAGUGUCUUCAUGCCAGAUUGAUGCAUCUUUUGGGAAUUAUGGCACAUCCUAAUUUUCGGUUGCUGUUACUUCACACUUGAAGAAGAACUCUGAAAUGCUCACAGUUUGUUGUUUCUAGAGGUUAUCUCUACUGGAUGCUCUUUUUUGUUUUGGCUGCAGCAAUGCCAUGUAUCGAUAUGCCUGCCUCACAGAUUGUGCUUAAGUUGUUGGACAAGAUUAUGUGUACUUGUUCUAUUUUUUCUUUGUUAACGAAGGGUCCAAAAUAAUCUGUUGUAUCUUUUAUCAGUUCAUACCGCUGAUGUGUAUGUCAGUUGAAUGUGUUGGUCAUGAUCUUGUAUCAGCUUCAAUGCCAUAUAUGUAUUUGGUAGACUGAGUUCGACAGACAAUGAAGUGGUACUCUUGUUCCUAUUAAUCUGGCCUCUUUACAGUUCA